rnacentral:snRNA from 1 species
GUAACUUGUCUUCAGAUCAUAUAAAGCUUUUGUCAUUUACUAAAGCUUUCUGUGGAGAAGAACAUUAAAGUUUUAACUUUUUUUUUUUUUUGGCUUGAAGACACAGCUG